GCAGGCUUACACAUGCAAGUCGGGCGAAGCCUUCGGGCUUAGCGGCGGACGGGUGAGUAACGCGUGGGAACGUACCCAUUCCUGCGGAAUAGGCCCUGGAAACGGGGUUUAAUACCGCAUACGCCCUUCGGGGGAAAGAAUUUCGGGGAUGGAUCGGCCCGCGUUGGAUUAGGUAGUGGGUGGGGUAAAAGCCUACCAAGCCGACGAUCCAUAGCUGGUUUUAGAGGAUGAUCAGCCACACUGGGACUGAGACACGGCCCAGACUCCUACGGGAGGCAGCAGUGGGGAAUCUUAGACAAU
rnacentral:rRNA from 1 species